rnacentral:rRNA from 1 species
AGUGAACGCUGGCGGUAGGCCUAACACAUGCAAGUUGAACGGCAGCACAGUAAGAGCUUGCUCUUACGGGUGGCGAGUGGCGGACGGGUGAGGAAUACAUCGGAAUCUACUUUUUCGUGGGGGAUAACGUAGGGAAACUUACGCUAAUACCGCAUACGGCCUACGGGUGAAAGCAGGGGAUCUUCGGACCUUGCGCGAUUGAAUGAGCCGAUGUCGGAUUAGCUAGUUGGCGGGGUAAAGGCCCACCAAGGCGACGAUCCGUAGCUGGUCUGAGAGGAUGAUCAGCCACACUGGAACUGAGACACGGUCCAGACUCCUACGGGAGGCAGCAGUGGGGAAUAUUGGACAAUGGGCGCAAGCCUGAUCCAGCCAUACCGCGUGGGUGAAGAAGGCCUUCGGGUUGUAAAGCCCUUUUGUUGGGAAAGAAAAGCAGCAGGUUAAUACCCCGCUGUUCUGACGGUACCCAAAGAAUAAGCACCGGCUAACUUCGUG